GUUGGAGGUCUAGUGGCGCACGGGUGCGUAACGCGUGGGAAUCUGCCCUUGGGUUCGGAAUAACACAGAGAAAUUUGUGCUAAUACCGGAUGAUGUCUUCGGACCAAAGAUUUAUCGCCCAGGGAUGAGCCCGCGUAGGAUUAGGUAGUUGGUGGGGUAAUGGCCCACCAAGCCGACGAUCCCUAGCUGGUCUGAGAGGAUGAUCAGCCACACUGGGACUGAGACACGGCCCAGACUCCUACGGGAGGCAGCAGUGGGGAAUAUUGGACAAUGGGCGCAAGCCUGAUCCAGCAAUGCCGCGUGAGUGAUGAAGGCCUUAGGG
rnacentral:rRNA from 1 species